AUUGAACGCUGGCGGCAUGCCUUACACAUGCAAGUCGAACGGCAGCACGGGGGCAACCCUGGUGGCGAGUGGCGAACGGGUGAGUAAUACAUCGGAACGUGUCCUAUCGUGGGGGAUAACCAGUCGAAAGACUGGCUAAUACCGCAUGAGAUCGAGAGAUGAAAGCGGGGGACCGCAAGGCCUCGCGCGAUUGGAGCGGCCGAUGUCGGAUUAGCUGGUUGGCGGGGUAACGGCCCACCAAGGCGACGAUCCGUAGCUGGUCUGAGAGGACGACCAGCCACACUGGGACUGAGACACGGCCCAGACUCCUACGGGAGGCAGCAGUGGGGAAUUUUGGACAAUGGGGGCAACCCUGAUCCAGCCAUGCCGCGUGUGUGAAGAAGGCCUUCGGGUUGUAAAGCACUUUCGGACGGAACGAAAUCGCGCGGGUGAACAGUCCGCGUGGAUGACGGUACCGUAAGAAGAAGCACCGGCUAACUACGUGCCAGCAGCCGCGGUAAUNCGU
rnacentral:rRNA from 1 species